GCCCAGGUGGUGGAAUGGUAGACACGAGGGACUUAAAAUCCCUUGGCCGAUAGGCUGUGCGGGUUCGAGUCCCGCCCCGGGUA
rnacentral:tRNA from 1 species